GACGAACGCUGGCGGCGUGCUUAACACAUGCAAGUCGAACGGAAAGGCCCCUUUGGGGGUCCUCGAGUGGCGAACGGGUGAGUAACACGUGAGUAACCUGCCCUUGACUUCGGGAUAACGUCAGGAAACUGGGGCUAAUACCGGAUAGGAAUCCUUGCUGCAUGGUGGGGGUUGGAAAGCUUCGGCGGUUUUGGAUGGACUCGGGGCUUAUCAGCUUGUUGGUGGGGUAGUGGCUUACCAAGGCUUUGACGGGUAGCCGGCCUGAGAGGGCGACCGGCCACAUUGGGACUGAGAGACGGCCCAGAGUCGGAAGGGAGGGAGCGGGGGGGAAUGUUGCACAAUGGGCGGCAGCCUGAUGCAGCAACGCCGCGGGCGGGAUGACGGCCUUCGUGUGGAAAACCGCGUUCAGCAGGGGCGAAGCUUGUGGUGACGGUACCUGCAGAAGAAGCACCGGCUAACUACGUG
rnacentral:rRNA from 1 species